rnacentral:rRNA from 1 species
GACGAACGCUGGCGGCGUGCCUAAUACAUGCAAGUUGAGCGCUGAAGGUUGGUACUUGUACCGACUGGAUGAGCAGCGAACGGGUGAGUAACGCGUGGGGAAUCUGCCUUUGAGCGGGGGACAACAUUUGGAAACGAAUGCUAAUACCGCAUAAAAACUUUAAACACAAGUUUUAAGUUUGAAAGAUGCAAUUGCAUCACUCAAAGAUGAUCCCGCGUUGUAUUAGCUAGUUGGUGAGGUAAAGGCUCACCAAGGCGAUGAUACAUAGCCGACCUGAGAGGGUGAUCGGCCACAUUGGGACUGAGACACGGCACAAACUCCUACGGGAGGCAGCAGUAGGGAAUCUUCGGCAAUGGACGAAAGUCUGACCGAGCAACGCCGCGUGAGUGAAGAAGGUUUUCGGAUCGUAAAACUCUGUUGGUAGAGAAGAACGUUGGUGAGAGUGGAAAGCUCAUCAAGUGACGGUAACUACCCAGAAAGGGACGGCUAACUACGUG